rnacentral:rRNA from 1 species
AAUAGAUACCCUGGUAGUCCACGCCCUAAACGAUGUCAACUGGUUGUUGGGUCUUUUCUGACUCAGUAACGAAGCUAACGCGUGAAGUUGACCGCCUGGGGAGUACGGCCGCAAGGUUGAAACACAAAGGAAUUGACGGGGACCCGCACAAGCGGUGGAUGAUGUGGUUUAAUUCGAUGCAACGCGAAAAACCUUACCCACCUUUGACAUGUACGGAAGUUGCCAGAGAUGGCUUCGUGCUCGAAAGAGAGCCGUAACACAGGUGCUGCAUGGCUGUCGUCAGCUCGUGUCGUGAGAUGUUGGGUUAAGUCCCGCAACGAGCGCAACCCUUGUCAUUAGUUGCUACGAAAGGGCACUCUAAUGAGACUGCCGGUGACAAACCGGAGGAAGGUGGGGAUGACGUCAAGUCCUCAUGGCCCUUAUAGGUGGGGCUACACACGUCAUACAAUGGCCGGUACAAAGGGCAGCCAACCCGCGAGGGGGAGCUAAUCCCAUAAAGCCGGUCGUAGUCCGGAUCGCAGUCUGCAA